CGGCGGACGGGUGAGUAACGCGUGGGUAACCUGCCUCGUACAGGGGGAUAACAGUUGGAAACGGCUGCUAAUACCGCAUAAGCGCACAGUACCGCAUGGUACCGUGUGAAAAACUCCGGUGGUAUGAGAUGGACCCGCGUCUGAUUAGGUAGUUGGUGGGGUAACGGCCUACCAAGCCGACGAUCAGUAGCCGACCUGAGAGGGUGACCGGCCACAUUGGGACUGAGACACGGCCCAA
rnacentral:rRNA from 1 species